rnacentral:tRNA from 1 species
GACCGCGUAGCUCAGUUGGCAGAGCACUGGGUUAGUAUUCCAAAGGUCGUAGGUUCGAUUCCCACCGUGGUCC